GAUGAAGAACGCAGCGAAAUGCGAUACGUAGUGUGAAUUGCAGAAUUCAGUGAAUCAUCGAAUCUUUGAACGCACAUUGCACCUCUCGGUAUUCCGGGAGGUAUGCCUGUUCGAGCGUCAUUUGUACCCUCAAGCUCUGCUUGGUGUUGGGUGUUUGUUCCGCCUCUGUGUGUGAACUCGCCUCAAAACAAUUGGCAGCCGGCGUACUUGUUUCGGAGCGCAGCACAUUUUGCGAUCCAGAUCAACGUACAGCGGCAUCCAAGAAGCCUUAUUUAACGCUCUUGACCUCGGAUCAGGUAGGGAUACCCGCUGAACUUAAGCAUAUCAUAAGGGAGGA
rnacentral:misc_RNA from 1 species